GAUAUUUAAAAGGCCAUGUAAUCUCUUUCGGUAAAAUGAUGAAUUUUAAUUACGUCAAAGACGUCGAUCCUGGAAUUAUUUAUAGAAUACAACUUCUUUUAUCGGUAGAUGACAAAUGGAAGAAAUUAUUGAAUGUUUCCUCUAUAGACAGGGAAAAAUUUAAUAAUUAUGUUGAAAAACUUGAAUACAAGGAAGAUAUGCUUUUUGCAAGAACUGUUUUAGAUUUUUGUGAAAAUAUUCCUAUUGAUGAUUUCAUAUUUUGGUUAGAAGAGAUAUCUCUUGAAGAGGCUCUUUUAAUGCUAAAGAAAGAUGAGCCAUUGGAAAUCAUUGAAAGACCAAAAAAAUUAAUAACUGUUGAUGCUGAUCAGCAAGAAGAGAUAAUUCUGUCAUGUAAAGCAAAAGGGUUUCCUACACCAAAAUAUCUGUGGUAUCACAAUAAUGUUCCAUUAUUAGAAGGUUCGGUUUUAAAAUUAUCAGCAGAAUUAAAAAAUAAUGGAUGCUAUUAUUGUGAAAUAUACAAUAUCAGUCGUUCAAGAAUUAAAACUUUUCUUAGGACUUCUAAAACAGAAGUUAUAAUUUCUAAGAAUGAAAAAGUUUACAAUGGAAAUACAGAUGAGGUAGAUCAUCAAACCUGGGAUGAGAAAUGUUCAGCAAGUGAUAAAUGUGAUUCUGCUACAUCAAGUAGAAAUGAAGAAAUGGAGUGUGAAAAUGUAACAUAUUUUGCAACAGAUAAAUUUGCCCUCUUAAUUGGCAUCAAUAAAUAUGAACACUUUACCAAUUUAAAUCAGGCAACUCAAGAUGUCUGCGACUUAUCAAAAUUAUUGAAAACCAUUGGUUUUAAAACAUUCUUAUUUCAAAAUCUGACCCGAAAAGAAAUUAUAGAAGCUGUUAAUUUAUUUUGUACUUUUUUAAGACCUGGCACCUAUAGUUUAUUUUAUUUUGCUGGACAUGGCUUUGAACAGCCCAAACAAUGUUAUUUAUUGCCAAAAGAUGCUAAAAUGGCUCUACCAAAAGAAAGUAUAAAUGUUGAUUUUGUUGUGAAAUGCCUGCAAGAACGUACUACAGCUAUGAAUUUAAUUCUUUUUGAUAUUUGCCGUUCACUUCCAGAUGAAUAUUUAGAAGGAAAAUCAAAUCUUGGAAGAGUGUUUAAUCCACAACCUUCAAGGAAUACUGUUAUUGGAUAUGCAACGUCGUAUGCUUGUUCUUGCAUUGAAAUUAAAAACAGAAGUAGUAUAUAUGUACAGUAUCUUAAAAAAUACAUUACAAAGCCUUUAUCAGUUUGGGAAAUGUUAAGAAAAGUAAAUAGAGAUAUAGAAAAGGAUUCAACUGUUAAUAGUAAACAAUAUCCGAACAUAUCUGGAAAUUUAACUCGGCCGUUGAAGCUCACAGACAAGAUAAAUGGACAGGGAGAUAAAUUAUUUGAAAUGGAAUCAAAGCGUUGGGAAAUCCUUACUGAGGGAGACUGAACUAGAUCAGAAAAAUGACAAAAUAGAUGACACACACAAAUUAUGUUGCAGCAUGAUUAUUUUCAAUAUACAGCAACAGGUUCUUCUCAAAGGAAGCUUAAAAGUGACUAAG
rnacentral:misc_RNA from 1 species